rnacentral:lncRNA from 1 species
GAGACCUUAGACCUGCUGAGCUGCCUGCAAGUCCCGCAGGGAGCUCCAUGACUCCCGGGUCCCUGAGUCGCCACCCGCCUGGGAGUGACUUUUAGUGAUGCAGCUGCCUUUGAAUCGUCCAUGCUCCUGCGCUUCGUUGGGGCUUUGCAUGGACUGCUUGGCCCGGAAUGUGGAUCUGCAGCCUCUCGCUGCUAGGCUACCAUCCGGUUCCCCCCUUAGGGGUAACCGUCACUCUAUGGCCGCCACCGCCAGAUAACCAAUGCCUGCUUUCCGUAUGGUUCGGUUCUGAGUAUCAAGGCGAGUGGUGGACUUGGGAAAACCAGACCCGAAGGAGACGCUUCGCAGUGUCCUUGGCAAGGAGUCAAGGGAAGCCCAUGAGGUCCUGCCUCCAAAUACCAAGCUUGUAGCCACCUCGAUCGGAUCUUGGAUGCCUCCUCCCCCAAAACAGAUCUCGCAUAAGGGCCUGGGAUUAACAAGGGGUUCAGAGUCCCCUUCCUUGGCAUAGAUGACCACACACCCACCCAUCGAACUUUCCUACAUGAAGUGCCUGGGCCCAGACACCCCUAGCCCAGACCGUGAUCUGUGAGGCCCGACACUCUUGGUGCUGGCACCGAGUGGGUGAGGCAGUUCCCUCUCUUUGGCGAAUGGGGAAGCUCCUGGCUUGAUUCCCUGCGUGGUCUCGGGGUCCACAGGCCGUGACCAAGGAGAGAAGAGAGUCUGGCCCUGCCUCGGGGAGGAGGGCCAGCGUGCAGAUUUAUGACCCUACCCUGUCCCUGCGCACCAAAAGCAACUCAAGCCAGACAGUGGAAUGUAAGACCCGACCCGGGCCAGAGGAGGAGGCCAGGGUCGGAGGCGGGGCUGAGAGGAGCAGAAAUUCGAAGUGGCCGGGUGCCACCGCCCCGGGGUUACCGGUUGCUCGUUGGGGUCCGGAUGCUGUGCGUGGCUCUGGCACCACAUCUUUGGUUCUGCUGGUGGGCCUGGGUUGCCCUUGGAUGAACCUCUUCAGGAUUCCCACCUUCUGAUGGGCCAACCGCAGCGAGAGACUGCGAGCGUGGCUGGGCCCAGCCUGGCCUCUCCGGGUUUUAGCGGCGCCCGGGCCGGGAGCUGUAGGGUAGCCGGAUUUAGGAUCUACGGAAACGCUCGCUUUAGACUCUACUAUGGCAUCUCCACGGGAGGCACAACUCAGCUUUCUCUUGGGAUCCCCUUUACUUAAGUCUCCAGUGGAGUUCACUCCUUGGGAGAGCUGGUUUGGGGCAACCGAUACAGGGUGGUUUGGAUGUCCUCCCUUAGGAAUGGAAACUAGCUUUGUUUCUUUUUCCUUCUUCCCCUGAUGAAGGAGUAUGGUGGAAACCUGUUCACAGCGCUAGCAACAUCGGGGGUGUGGAUGAUGAUGAGGUCAACCUUUCGUGGGGCAUAAGUGAGGGAAGGAAACGCGGGGUUCCCUGGAGCUGGACAAAGGCGCACCGCAGGGGAGGCAGCCGCGCUCAAGGUUGGCCUGUCCUCUGAUUUUACAACAAAGAGCUUUGAGUUUUGUCCGUGGGGACUCGUUCAGACCGGGACUAGGGACCUGGAAGAACACACUAGAAGGCUCAGGAGUGGCCGGGGACGACCACGCCGGACCAGACAGGCCAGCUCGAGUGGGUUGUCCGGGAACUGCGUCCUGGGACUACAUGGAGGCCCCCCCCCCCAGCUGAUUUUCCAUCCAGUCAGUACAACACACACACUGCGUCAACACAGUUUUUCUGGCCACGGAUCCUGACGGGUAAACAAGCGAGAGGGAUGGGGGAUGGGGCGCGAAGAUGGCGCCUGGACCCGUGGUCCGUGCAUUUGUCCCCAUCUCCGUUUUAGGACGAGCACACCCGGCUUUUGUAGUUAAGAGCGUCUCUGCCCCGGCUGUAGGUCGUUUCCCCAGACCCAGAGGCUCUCGGAAGUGGUGUGGUGUUGGUGCAACCUCUGCUUCUCUGCAAGUCCCCACGCCCCAACAUGGCUCCCAACCGCUGUUACAUGUAGGGGGACACAGGGGCGUGGAGACCAGGGCCCUCGCCUGCCCACCGCACACUUAUACUUGGCAGACUGGAGAGACGCAGGAGGGACCCAGCCUGCGUUCCCCUGCUUGGGCGCUGGGAAUCCGGUGCCACCGGUUCCCCAGGUUCAGCGCACCGGUGGCCCGAGAGCCGAGUGGCAGGCCGAGAGGGGACCCAGAACGCCGCACAUUCCAGGGGGGAGCGGGCCACGUUCCACACCAACCACGGCCCUAAUGAAACUGGGUCGGUACGCCACGCAGACAGGGCGCACACUUGAAAAAUGCAAACGCCACCGGCAAAUCCCAGGCAAAUUGGAAUAAUUUUUUAUUAGCAGCUAAAUGAUUUAUGGCACAAUACCCC